rnacentral:rRNA from 1 species
CAGCCGCCACGGUAAGACAGAGGAUGCAAGCGUUAUCCGGAAUGAUUGGGCGUAAAGCGUGCGUAGGCGGCUUUUUAAGUCGGAUGUGAAAUCCCUGAGCUUAACUUAGGAAUUGCAUUCGAUACUGGGAAGCUAGAGUAUGGGAGAGGAUGGUAGAAUUCCAGGUGUAGCGGUGAAAUGCGUAGAGAUCUGGAGGAAUACCGAUGGCGAAGGCAGCCAUCUGGCCUAAUACUGACGCUGAGGUACGAAAGCAUGGGGAGCAAACAGGAUUAGAUACCCCUGUAGUCCCUGUCUCUUAUAC